AAAGGGUGCGUAGGCGGCCUGUUAAGUCAGGGGUGAAAGACGGUAGCUCAACUAUCGCAGUGCCCUUGAUACUGAUGGGCUUGAAUGGACUAGAGGUAGGCGGAAUGAGACAAGUAGCGGUGAAAUGCAUAGAUAUGUCUCACAACACCGAUUGCGAAGGCAGCUUACUAUGGUCUUAUUGACGCUGAGGCACGAAAGCGUGGGGAUCAAACAGGAUUAGAUACCCGUGU
rnacentral:rRNA from 1 species